GAUGAACGCUGGCGGCGUGCCUAAUACAUGCAAGUCGAGCGAACAGACGAGGAGCUUGCUCCUCUGACGUUAGCGGCGGACGGGUGAGUAACACGUGGAUAACCUACCUAUAAGACUGGGAUAACUUCGGGAAACCGGAGCUAAUACCGGAUAAUAUAUUGAACCGCAUGGUUCAAUAGUGAAAGACGGUUUUGCUGUCACUUAUAGAUGGAUCCGCGCCGCAUUAGCUAGUUGGUAAGGUAACGGCUUACCAAGGGAACGAUGCGUAUCCGACCUGAGAGGGUGAUAGGCCGCACUGGAAUUAAGACACGGUCCAGACUCCUACGGAAGGCAGCAGUAGGGAAUCUUCCGCAAGGGGCGAAAACCUGACGGAACAACGCCGCGUGAGUGAUGAAGGUCUUCGGAUCGUAAAACUCUGUUAUUAGGGAAGAACAAAUGUGUAAGUAACUAUGCACGUCUUGACGGUACCUAAUCAGAAAGCCACGGCUAACUACGUG
rnacentral:rRNA from 1 species